GCCCCUCUCUCCCAACGCCCGCGUCGACUUUGGGGGAUAUUCUGCAUCCAAGGUUGUGCGGCGUUUGCAUUGGUUUAGGAGGGGCUAGUUGGUCUGGCAACCUGUAUCCGCUUGCUAGUGCGUGUAUGUAUGUCGCGGUUCGCAUAAUUUAUUUGAUGGUACAUCUUCCGUGGCUUUGGGUUUAUGCUUGGUACAUGUCCGUAUCUGAUUAAUUGUUGUUUGCCCAAGCAUUCUGUUUUCUGGUUAGUGUUGGCUUGAGAAUGAUGCAGUAUGAAGGGGAAACUGCCCCAAUCUAGACUAAGAUAAUGAUAAUCUUUGAUGUGCUAACUGCUAAAUGCCGUGCUGUUUCUCUCCUGCCACAAAGCAUGACGAAUCCUUAUUUUUGAAGUGCUGGGAAAACAUCAACUUCCUAAUAAUUUUGCAUGGAGUUUAUUUCUCAUACCCAAUAUUCAAUUCCCAAUUAUAGAAGAGAUGUGCCCAUGAAGAUAAGUUACAACCUGCUCUCACUGAUGAAUGUUGCUCACUUACGAUGGGCAAAUGCUGUUCUUUUGUCAGGUUUGUACUUAGUUUUUGUUAUUGUCGCUUCCAAGGACCUGCUUAUCUUUUGGAUGUGCCUUUGUCUCUCUGAGCAACUGCCCAAGGGUAAUUCUUUUAAAUAAGGUAGAUAAAGUGUUACUAGAUAGAGAAUCAUUCUCAAGCUUGGUAAGCAUUCUUAGAUGUUCCAUCAUAAGUUGAUCAAUGCUUAUUCUCAUAAGUUGUUUAUUUAUGGUUUGUUCCUUUCUGCCAAUGAUGCUUUUGAACUUACCUUUGCAGGUCCGGAUGCUUCAUUCUUUGGAUCAUGCAAAUGUCCUGAAAUUUUACUCUUGGUACGAAACUUCAGCACAUUUUUGGCUAGUAUUGGAAUAUUGUGUUGGUGGAGACCUCAAGGGCUUGCUCGAGCAGGAUAAGAAGCUGCCUGAAAGUGCCAUGCACGCCCUGGCUUAUGAUCUAAGCCCUCCUGU